rnacentral:rRNA from 1 species
AGGUUAAGCUAGAAAGGGCGCACGGUGGAUGCCUUGGCACUAGGAGCCGAUGAAGGACGGGGCAAACGCCGAAACGCUCCGGGGAGCUGUAAGCAAGCGUUGAUCCGGAGAUGUCCGAAUGGGGGAACCCACUGUCCGUAAUGGGGCAGUAUCCAUGUCUGAAUCCAUAGGGCAUGGAGGGCACACCCGGGGAACUGAAACAUCUUAGUACCCGGAGGAGAAGAAAGCAAACGCGAUUCCCUGAGUAGCGGCGAGCGAAACGGGAACAGCCCAAACCAAGAGGCGUGCCUCUUGGGGUUGUAGGACCGCUCAUUGUGGGAGUGAGAAAGGAACGGGGUAGACGAACCGGUCUGGAACGGCCGGCCAGAGAAG